rnacentral:rRNA from 1 species
AGCGAACGCUGGCGGCAUGCCUAACACAUGCAAGUCGCGCGGGGGGGCUUCGGCCUCCCAGUGGCGGACGGGUGAGGAACGCGUAGGGACCUGUCGAGGGGUGGGGGAUAACCGCGGGAAACUGCGGCUAAUACCGCAUGACGCCGCGGCGUGACAGCCGGGGCCAAAGGCGAAAGCCGCCCGCCGAGGGGCCUGCGUCCGAUUAGCUGGUUGGCGGGGUAGCGGCCCACCAAGGCGUCGAUCGGUAGCUGGUCUGAGAGGGUGAUCAGCCACACCGGGACUGAGACACGGCCCGGACUCCUACGGGAGGCAGCAGUGGGGAAUAUUGGACAAUGGGCGCAAGCCUGAUCCAGCAAUGCCGCGUGGGUGAAGAAGGUCUUCGGAUUGUAAAGCCCUUUCGGCGGGGACGAUGGUGACGGUACCCGCAGAAGAAGCCCCGGCUAACUUCGUG